rnacentral:rRNA from 1 species
AUGAAGUUCUCUUCCAUCUUUUUCCUGUUUCUCAUUUACUUUCUUUGUGUUUGUAUAGGUUUACUUAUUUAUCUUAAAUUCUGGUUUUUAAAAUUCAUUCGUGAUUUCGGAAAAAUGUUGACAAACUACCACGCGUGGGAAAAUAUUUGGCCCGUGCAACAUGGCACUCUUGCCUCUCAUAAUCAAAUUCACACACGCAGACUUUACCAAAACAGUACACAAUUAUGUAACAUGCCUUUGGUUUGCUGUCUUUCUGAGCUCACCAACCAUAGGCACAAGAAACAUAUAUAUUGGCUGUAA